CGUGAUGAGAUAGAGAUGGCCGUCGUCGCGCGCUACCUGGAAUUGCUAUCGCGGUGCCGCGGCGGAGGGGACGCGCGUCCGAUCGCGCGGAUCCAGGCGGCGCUGGUCACGUCGGGGCUGCUCCGCUGCAGCGCGGAGCUCCACGACGCGCUCGUCAGGGCGCUUGCGAGCUCCGCCAGGCCGCACCUUGCGCUGCCGCUCUACGCGCACCUCCACCGCUCGGGACUGCUCCCCACCCCGCACACCCUCCCCUCGCUCCUCAAGUCGCUCGCCCUCUCCCCCGGCGCCCCCGGCGCCCGCCGCCUCGCGCUUGCCGUCCACGCCCACGCUGUCAAGCUCGGCCUCACGGGAUUCCUCCUCGUGAACAACGCGCUCAUUCGCGUCCACGCGAGUCUCAUUGGCUGCCUACCCGACGCACACCUUCUGCUGCGCACCUCGGCUUCCGUGGACGCCUCCACGUUCAACACGCUCAUCACGGUGCAUGCUAGGGCUGGGCGGGUCGCCGACGCUCGCUCGCUGUUCGACGAAAUGCCUGCGAAGAACGUUGUUUCGUGGAGCGCUAUGGUGAAUGGGUACGUGCAGGCUGGAGAUGGGAAGGAAGCGCUGGUGGUGUUCUCGCGGAUGCAGGCCGAGGGUGUCCGCCCGGAAGACACCGUCCUUGUUGGGGUGCUUGCUGCCUGUGCGCAGCUGGGUGCGCUGGAGCAGGGGAAGUGGGUACAUGGUUACCUUAAAGCGAACAGUAUUAGCAUCACGGUGUUUUUGGGCACUGCGUUGGUUGAUAUGUAUGCCAAGUGUGGCGAGGUACAGCUUGGGAUGGAAGUGUUUGAGGGAAUGAAGGACAAGAAUGUGCUGGCUUGGACUACUAUGAUAAAGGGCUUGGCGAUGCAUGGCCGGGGCUCAGAGGCAUUAAUCCUCUUCUCCCAGAUGGAGAGAUCAGGUGUUAAUCCAGAUGACAUUGCCUUCAUUGGCGCGUUGUGUGCGUGCACACACACUGGGUUAGUUGACAAGGGUAAGGAGCUUUUCAAUUCCAUGGUGAGAAGGUACAGGAUUAAACCAAAGAUUGAACAUUAUGGGUGCAUGGUAGACCUUCUGGCACGGAAUGGCUUGCUUAGUGAGGCCAGAGAGAUGGUUGAGAAAAUGCCCAUGAAACCUGAUGCCUUAAUCUGGGGAGCUCUGAUGGCUGGUUGUAGGUUUCACAAGAAUGUGGAGAUGGCUGAAUAUGUUAUAAAACACUGGAUUGAGUUGGAGCCUGACAAAAGUGGUGCUUAUGUACUUUUAGCUAACAUCUAUUCUGCCUCUGGUAGGCAUGCUUCUGCCAGGGAAAUUAGGCACCAAAUGCGUGAGAAGGGAGUUGAUAAGACACCUGGAUGUAGCAAUGUGGAGAUUAGAGGAGUUAUCCACCAAUUCAUUGCUGGAGAUCUGUCUCAUCCUCGUAUAAAAGAUAUUUUGACAAAGUGGCAUGAGAUUGAUAUUAGGAUAAGAACAGAGGAGGGUUACGUGCCUGACAAGAAAGAAGCUUUGCUUGAUAUUGAAGAAGAAGAGAAGGAAGGUGCACUCAGCCGCCAUAGUGAGAAGCUGGCAAUCGCAUUUGCUUUGAUUAGUACAAGUGAUAACACGCCCAUUCGGAUUGUGAAGAACCUCAGAGUUUGCCAGGAUUGCCAUCAUGUCACCAAACUUAUAUCCAAAGUAUACCGGAGAGAAAUUAUUGUUAGAGAUCGCACACGUUUCCAUUUGUUCAAAGAUGGCAGCUGUUCGUGCAAGGACUACUGGUAGUAACUAACAAGUUCAUGUACUAGCAUUGGUACGUGUCACAUUAGAGAGCAUGUGUUAUUCAAUUCACAAAACUUCUCUUCCGUCAGAUAAUCAGUGAUGAAGAGUUGAAGACCUAAAGUUGGUUUUUGAUCUUACGGUUGUUAAGCCUUCUGACUUUGUGGAAUAUGCUUUGGCUUGUCUGGAGCAACUUGCUGAUUCUGGAGAUCAUAGUGCAAAAUCCAUUCGCCAUAAUCUGAGAGUC